GCCCUGGUGGCACAACAAUUAAGUGCUUGGCUGCUAACUGAAAGGUUGGUGGUUGGAACCCACCCUAUGGCU
rfam:Loxodonta africana unplaced genomic scaffold scaffold_11, whole genome shotgun sequence.